CCAAUCACGCUCCAGUGAGGGAAUUAAGGACAGCACGUUGUCCUUGUAACGUGGAUCCAGCAGGGUGGCCACCCAGUAAUCAGCACAAGUUAGAAUCAGCAACAAGUCGUUGCGCAGGCACUUUGGUGACUCUAAAUAACCUCGGGCCUAUCGCACGUCCCUGUGACGGCGACGACGCAUUCGGAUGUCUGCCCUAUCAACUUUCGAUGGUACUUUCUGUGCCUACCAUGGUGACCACGGGUAACGGGGAAUCAGGGUUCGAUUCCA